rnacentral:rRNA from 1 species
GAGGAAGUAAAAGUCGUAACAAGGUUUCCGUAGGUGAACCUGCGGAAGGAUCAUUACCGAGUGAGGGCCCUCUGGGUCCAACCUCCCACCCGUGACUACCGUACCUUGUUGCUUCGGCGGGCCCGCCGCAAGGCCGCCGGAGGGGCUUAAAACACCCCUACGGCCCGCGCCCGCCGAGGACACCUACAAGAACUCUGGAUGAAGUCUGCAGUCUGAGCGAUUAGCAAAAUCAAACAAAACUUUCAACAACGGAUCUCUUGGUUCCGGCAUCGAUGAAGAACGCAGCGAAAUGCGAUAAGUAAUGUGAAUUGCAGAAUUCAGUGAAUCAUCGAAUCUUUGAACGCACCUUGCGCCCCCUGGCAUUCCGGGGGGCAUGCCUGUCCGAGCGUCAUUGCUGCCCUCAAGCACGGCUUGUGUGUUGGGUCGCCGUCCCCGGUAUCCCCGGGGACGGGCCCGAAAGGCAGCGGCGGCACCGAGUCCGGUCCUCGAGCGUAUGGGGCUUCGUCACUCGCUUCGUAGGAACGGCCGGCGCUUGCCGACGUUAUACCAACUUUUUAUCCAGGUUGACCUCGGAUCAGGUAGGGAUACCCGCUGAACUUAAGCAUAUC